CCAGGUUGCUGAUUACCAGAGUAACUGCCAAGCUUUCAACUCCUUGUCAUCAAUGGGCUGUGAAUGACAGACAGCAUUAAUGUUGGCAAGCUCCCACUCUCCUUUUCGCCUUUCCCAAAUGUAAUUAAACUGCACUAAUACAGCAAAAGAAAAGCUGCAGCUUUAUUUUACUCACCCUAAUAACAUAACAAUUAAAUCACAGAAGCACACAAUGCAGUCAAAUAAACCCAUCAUGACAAGGAAAUUCAGAGGUAAGAGAAGCGUGCAUCUAACAUUUAGAGAAAAACAUGAGGAAAGAGUCUUCCUUUUCUCUCCUAACACUACAAUGACCACACUGUUUGACCUUCAGCAAGACAAUAUGGCCAACAUCUAAGUAGCCACUCCGCUGCAGCCUGCUGAAAGGCAUCAAGUGUUUCUUCUUCUGUUGCACCUUCAGUUUAAGCAUAAAGGGAAUAAUUAGCUUCUCCUUGAAAUGAUCUGUUAUCUCCCUGGUAGGAGACAGCUGGAUAAGGAACAGAGAAGAUGUAACACACAAUUAGAAUGGCAUUACACAACUCACCCACCAGAACAAGAUGUCAUUAUCCUGAUCCUGGAGGAAGUCCUGCACCUUAGAUCUAAGGACUAUGGGGCAAUCAGAGGAUAGCUGAGUGUGAGGAAGAAGGAGAAAUCAGUCCUUGACUCAUUUGCAGAGGACAAGGGAGGCUUGUAGAAUGCAGAGGUAUCACUGAACAUUUAUGUGGUAAUUUAUGCGCAAAUUUAUUUAUGUUUCUCCAGACCAAAGCAAAGCAGAAGUUACAGGCCUGCAGAAAGGCAGCAGAGUUUAACCGUAAAGCUGUCCCUCCUUGCUGUCCCUCCUUGCUGCAAUGCUCUAGGACAGGAAGCAAGCGCCGCAAAGACUGAGAUUGUGGUGUUCCAAGCCAGCUCCAGGCCAUCAAAGGGAGAGCCAGCACCUCAAACACCCACCUCAUCUGUUUUUGCCAUCAAGCAGAGAAAGAAGAAGCCACAAAGGAUGUGGAAAAACAUUUCAGAAGAACAUAAAAUGAGCCUUUAAUUUUCUUGUGCAUCAACAAUAAUUCGUGAUAGAAAAAUAAUGAUGGAGGAUUUGGUUCCUGUGUAGAUACUACCUUGAACAUUUUAAGAGGCUUUCUCUGAGUCACCAUGAAUAGAGAUGAUUCCCCAGACCUUGUAACAAUUUAAUCUGAUUUUUUAGACUGAAUAUUAAACAAAGAUUGGCAACAGAAAUUGGCCCAGAAGAUGAAAAAAAAUGCCAAUCUUGCAGACAAGAUUUGUGUCAUUUCAAUGUGACGGCCUUUGAUUUUCAGAGUAAGCAGCUACGUUUGAGUUACCACCAGAGAGGGCUUUGGUCUACAGUUUCUCCUGGCCUGUUCACUACACCUAGAUAAUACCCUAAGCACAUGCUAGUAUCUUUGAACAAAAUUAGAUAUAUUUACAAAUAGGACAGGAUCAGCCUAAGGCUGCUGGCCUGAAACUGUACCCAAAGCAGUACGAAUUAUUUUAAAAAGAAUGAAUUUUGCUCUGGCACACAGAACAGUGAGGACGGAAAUUCUAUUCUUAAGUCUUUUAAGACCAGCCAGUUCCCAGAUGUGCAGUUCUAUGGGACUUUAAUCCUACUAGAGGAGGUUUAUUUGUGUGUUUCACAAUAUUAGAUGCCAUUUGCAUUAAAAGGGUAGGAAAAGAAUGUUAUUUCAGUGGUCAGUGUGUGAUUUAGCAAGUGGAGAUGAAAAGGUUCUGAUUUUUUUUCAGUGUUAACUUACCAGGGCUUCAAACUUCAUUUUCAAUUAGACAAAAAUGCUAAAGUUUGUGAACUAGAU
ensembl:lncRNA